ACGAGCCGGUUGGCGUGGUUGGUAGAUACUUGCCUUUCACGCCGAAGGUUGUGGGUUCGAUUCCCACCCAGGACAGACAUUUGUGUGCAUGAACAUGUCUGUUUGUCCUGAGUCUGGGUGUAAUUAUCUAUAUAAGUAUGUAUUUACAAAAAGAAAAGUAGUAUAUGUAGUAUAUCAGUUGUCUGGUUUCCAUAGCACAAGCUUUGUACAAGCUUAAUUUGGGAUCAGAUGGCCGUGUGUGAAAAAUGUCCCAGGAUAUUAUUAUUA